GUGUUAUGGGUUGAGAACUGGUGGUCAACUUAACGCCAGCUGGAUUACAUCAGCAUGCAUUGAGAAAAGAUGCUCCACCUGAGGAGGGUUGCCAGGAUAAAUAGGUGGAAAAGAAGAGAGGUGUUGAGAGGGAUUGAGGUGUUAAGGAGGCAUUGUGGGUUCUCCCACGAGCUGCUGUCUGAGCUGCUGGUUCUGGAGAAGCUGUGGUCCUCACAUUGAGCACUGCUUCCUGGCUCUGGAGGGGAACACAUGUGCUGCUUGGUCUCCAGGAUGAACUCGUCACGCUGCUUCCUGGCACAUACCCAACUGUGCUUGUCGUUGGAGGAGCUCGGGGCCUCCGUGUCGCUGAGGAUGGCUGUGGUGCCUUCAGGACAGCCCUGGUCUUUGUUGUGAGUGUGACUUCUCGGCUCCACCAUAGAACCCUCACCCACAGCUCCUUCAUCCUGCUGGCAUAGACUUUCUGGCUUCCACUGCUGACUCUUGGGUCUUCCCGGCACGGAUCCGUGAAAGCGACUGGCAUGAGUCCUUCUUGUGGGCUCUGGACCUCCAGUUAGACUCAUGUUGGAACUCUAAUUUCUAAGAUGAUGGUUUUAAAAAGUGAGAAGACAGAGACUCGUGAACCAGAAGCCCCGCUCCAGACAUAGAAUCUGCAGGGCCUUCGGUCUGGACUUCCCAGUCUCCAGCAAUGUGACAAAUAGAUGUUUGUUAUGUGUAAGCCCCUCAGUUCGUGGCAUUUCAUUACAGCAGACCAGAUGGAAUACGAAAGGAAAUGUGCGCUGACCGUAGGGGUGCGGUUGUAGCAAACACCUCAAAAUGCGGGAGGAGGCAUUAGGAACGGGGUGGCAGGCAGAAGCUAAAGAGUUCGAGGUGUGUGCUGGAAAAGCUCUACCUGGCUGUGGAUGACCUUGAAAGGUGAUUCUUGUGAGGGUCAUGAAAAAAAAUAAAAGAUCUGCAGAGAAAGCCUCGCUCUUUUUAGAGUAUUUGCACAAAACUUUAAACACACCGUUCUGUUUCUGAGACACAGUCUUGCUGUGCAGAUUCUGUAAUCUAUAAGGAAAUUGGGGAGCAUGAGGAUGAAAUAAACACGUUUGGCAUGGAGGAAGGACAUAAAUGUUGGGAAUUUAGGGACAGAAUGCUGCGCUCUGGAUAUCUUGGUCCUCCUCACACUCCUGUGUUGAAAUCCUAACCCCCGAGGUGAUACAGUGGUUGUAGAAGCUGAUGGCUUUGGGAAGGAUUAAAUCACGAGGCCACAGCUCUGAGGAAAGAGACCCCAGAGAGUUCCCUGGCCCCUUUCAACCCCGUGAGGUUACUGCAAGAAGAGCACCACACACCAAAUUUGCAGAGCCUUGCACUGUACUCCCAGCCUCCAGGACUGUGAGAAAAAAGUGUCUCCAGCUCACGUAGCACAGUCUACAGUGAGCAGCCCAGCAAUCCAAAGGGACAAAGACAAUUGCAUGAGUUUGUUAGUCAUUCUUUCAACAGAUAUGCAUCAAAUUCCAGGCAGGAGUCAUGCUCACUGUAGUUGAUUAGAUGGAAGGUCACAAAAAAAGACAUCCCUUUAAUUGUCACUAAGACAGAGAUGGGAAAGAGAACAAAGCGCUCUCUGCCAGCUCGUAAGGGCUUUUGCACACGUCAUGGCCAGGCAAGAAACUCAGCUGCACAUAACUUUAAAGCAGUAAGAGGCAGAUUUUAGGGUACAUGUGGGUGGGGCUGCGGAAUGGAAUGUUUAUGAAUGGAUCUAACCACUGCGCUGCUUUUUAUUUAUUUUUUUAUGAGCUUCACCAAACCAGCUCGUGCCAUUUCAGGCAUAUUCUUGUUUGGCAACACCUAAUACUCCCGUGUGCUUUGCCAAGAACCACCAGACUUCAGUUGGCCAUUGGCCUCCUAGGUACGCGGUGUGUGCUCUAUGCUUAAGAUUCUCAGGAUGAAUUAAACACCAUGGCACCCCAGCAUAUGCCCUACCCCACCUUCUCCCACUCAGAUUUUACUUGUAAGGCAUGAAGUUUCAUUUUAGCCGAUGUCAAAAGACGCAGCAAACCUAAAACUUUUAAACUUAUGUCAGAAAAUCAAGACUGCCUGUUUCCAUUGGCUUCUCAUUACUUUUGAAACUUUCUUAAAUUAACAAAUAAUUAUAAUCCCUGUCAUGGUUUAUGUCUGUGGCCUCCAGGCCUCAUGAGUUUGCAUUGUGCAUUUGUGAUGGUUCAUUGUCUAGUGCUUGGAUUGAUGGUGUCAGUGCUCCACCCACAAAGGGGUGGAGCCAGGAUGUGAUGUAAUGGCAGGAAGAAGGCGUGUCUUGCUCUUUGCUGGUUCCUGCUUGCUGUUUGCAGCUGCCAUGAACGGCGGCCCAGCCAUGCCUGCCUGCCUUGGAGCCAACUGAGUGUGGACUGAAACCUCCAAAAACUGUAAGAAAUAAACCUUUCCUUUCCCAACUUUGGGCUUCAGGUAUUUUGUCUCAGCGACGAGUAAAAAGU